GUGAGAGGUCUGCAUGGCCUUGCAGAGCACCCCCUCACAGUGAGAGGUCUGCGUGGCCUGCAGAGUGCUCCUUCACAGUGAGAGGUCUGCGUGGCCUGCAGAGCACCCCUUCACAGUGAGAGGUCUGCGUGGCCUGCAGAGCGCUCCCUGACAGUGAGAGGUCUGUGUGGCCUGCAGAGCGCUCCCUGACAGUGAGAGGUCUGCGUGGCCUGCAGAGCACCCCUUCACAGUGAGAGGUCUGCGUGGCCUGCAGAGCGCUCCCUGACAGUGAGAGGUCUGUGUGGCCUGCAGAGCGCUCCCUGACAGUGAGAGGUCUGCGUGGCCUGCAGAGCACCCCUUCACAGUGAGAGGUCUGCGUGGCCUGCAGAGCGCUCCCUGACAGUGAGAGGUCUGUGUGGCCUGCAGAGCGCUCCCUGACAGUGAGAGGUCUGCGUGGCCUGCAGAGCACCCCUUCACAGUGAGAGGUCUGCGUGGCCUGCAGAGCGCC